AUUGAACGCUGGCGGCAGGCCUAACACAUGCAAGUCGAACGGUAACAGGAAGCAGCUUGCUGCUUCGCUGACGAGUGGCGGACGGGUGAGUAAUGUCUGGGAAACUGCCUGAUGGAGGGGGAUAACUACUGGAAACGGUAGCUAAUACCGCAUAACGUCGCAAGACCAAAGAGGGGGACCUUCGGGCCUCUUGCCAUCGGAUGUGCCCAGAUGGGAUUAGCUAGUAGGUGGGGUAACGGCUCGCCUAGGCGACGAUCCCUAGCUGGUCUGAGAGGAUGAACAGGCACACUGGAACUGAGACACGGUCCAGACCCCUACGGGAGGCAGCAGUGGGGAAUAUUGCACAAUGGGCGCAAGCCUGAUGCAGCCAUGCCGCGUGUAUGAAGAAGGCCUUCGGGUUGUAAAGUACUUUCAGCGGGGAGGAAGGCGAUAAGGUUAAUAACCUUGUCGAUUGACGUUACCCGCAGAAGAAGCACCGGCUAACUCCGUGCCAGCCGCCGCCGUAA
rnacentral:rRNA from 1 species